GCAUUUUUGUUUACGACAUACAGUAAGUUUUCUUUGUACCUCUCAGGAAAUCAACUAAUAAUUUACUUAACUUUUUAUUUCAGAUAGUAUGACAUAAUUCUAUAAUCUCAACAGGUUAUUUUCAACCUGUGAGAUUCUGAUUUGCGGUCUCAGAGAUGUACAAUUGUAGUCACAUGUGGGAAGGUCCAACUACUCUGGGAAUAUCCUAAGUUGUGAGCCACAGCUUAUCUGAGGAAAUUGUGAAGACCAAAUGUUUCCAGUUGCCACCACACCCUCAGCAUCUUUUUUUGCCGAGUACAUUCUCAUGUGUGAUAUGAUUAAC
rnacentral:lncRNA from 1 species